CCCUCUGACUGGUCCAACCGCCUCUGUAACGCCUGUGGGUCCAGCUGUGUCUGGAGUUGUUGGGCGUAAAGCGCUGGUUGUCGGUGGGUGUAGUCUGCCGUGAAAGCUUGCAGCUCAACUGUAGCCGUGCGUUCGAAACGGUCAUCACUGGGGUUCGGGAGGGGAGACUGGAAUUCCUGGUGUAGCGGUGAAAUGGGCAGAUAUCAGGAGGAACACCGGUGGCGAAGGCGGGUCUCUGGGCCGAUACUGACGCUGAGGAGCGAAAGCGUGGGGAGCGAACAGGAUUAGAUACCCUGUAGUC
rnacentral:rRNA from 1 species